CUAAAUGAUGAGACCGAGUCCUAGUGACUUUUUAUAAUAUAAACCCAGCUCUUCGACUUUUCUGUUCGUGAGAAGAAAUAUUGUCAAACGCUCUGAUA
rfam:Cyberlindnera jadinii NRRL Y-1542 unplaced genomic scaffold CYBJAscaffold_4, whole genome shotgun sequence.